rnacentral:antisense_RNA from 1 species
CUUCAGCGAGCCCAGCCACAGCGGGGCGCCGGCGGGGCGCUGCCCGUAGGUGGCGAGCAGCGCCUGCGCCUC